AAGUGCCGCAAACAAAGAGAAGAAAUGGAAAUUUGCCUGGGUCAACACGGCGGGGAUGAAGCUGUCUUGAAAGAGAUGAGAAGGGAGUAUAAACUACACCUAAAAGGAGGGAAAGGCCCAGCCGAACCUUGAGCGACCCGCAGGUUUUGCCUACGGUCUUGCUUGCGUAUGUUGGAAUCAAGAACUUGUAGGCUCGUACCAUCUUCAGACAAGACUUAUAAGGUUUCCGUCGGAACAUUUUGGUUCUGCAUAUGUUGUCCGAACUUUGGGGAAGUAUGUAUAAGUACCCUGUCGCCGCAAUCCGACCUGUCGAACUCGGACCAUGUGGAAACCAGAUUUAGCCUCAAAACUAUAGUCAGGCGAACCUGAAAAUAAUGGUCGCUGCAGAAUUUGUACUUAGCAUCGUAAGGGGUUAUGUUCUCU